UACGAAGGGGGCUAGCGUUGCUCGGAAUCACUGGGCGUAAAGCGCACGUAGGCGGAUUGCUAAGUCAGGGGUGAAAUCCUGGAGCUCAACUCCAGAACUGCCUUUGAUACUGGCGAUCUUGAGUCCGGGAGAGGUGAGUGGAACUGCGAGUGUAGAGGUGAAAUUCGUAGGAUAUUCGCAAGAACACCAGUGGCGAAGGCGGCUCACUGGCCCGGUACUGACGCUGAGGUGCGAAAAGCGUGGGGAGCAAACAGG
rnacentral:rRNA from 1 species